rnacentral:snRNA from 1 species
AUGCUUGCUUCUGCUGCACAUAUAUCAAAAUUGGGAGGCUACAGAGAAGACUAGUGUGGCCCCUGCACAAGGAUGCCAUGAAAGCUCGUGAAGUGUUCCAUAUUUUU